AGUCAACAAAUGAUAUUAAAUCAGACCAGAUUACUAUCCCAUUUCUUAUUCAAUCAGUCGAACCGGAGUCGUGAGUUCAGCAGAAAUCCCAACCAUGAUGGCAGCAUGUGUUGCUGGAAAUUGAAGACGCAAACCUCGACGCGUAGUGGGAAGUGAAGAAAACAUACACCCCCGUCUGCAUCAAUGCUCUAACGCCUACAAUGGGCAAGGACCGAACUGUAGUUUGCAGGUUGAACUUUACUGCAAUUUAGAGUGCGUUUGGCUACAAGACUGGUAUAACUGAAUGAAAAUCCAUCGCCAAUGGUUCUGAAAACUGGAUAGAAAUUUUACCACAAUUGCAGGCACUAAAAACAAAAGUCUGAAUAUAUCUAAUAGAACGAAGACAUGCUUAGAAACGAGACAUAAAUAAGGCACAACAGCACCAAAAUACUCGCCUUCUGUCAAGCUCUCUGAAAAGACCAAACUCAAGAUUUUUUUUUUUAAUUGUAAAAAGGAUUUUCACAAAAGGAAUGAAUCACAUUCUCUAUAAAUCAAUUUUCCUCUACAAAUUAUGUAAAAUCAAAGCAGCAAAACCUUAAUAUGCAUUAUUUUCAACAUCAAAUGUACACACACUAUGUAUAGAACUCAAAUCAAAAACUCAAUUGGCACUGAAUGGUUGGUCUAAAAACAAAUCAGCUCCUAGCAUUACCAUGUCGUUGGUUUCUGAAGUAUUGAAGUAAUGCCUGAGCCUUUUCUUUAGCUCUUGGGGUGCCAGACUGUGAUAAAGCCACUAAUGGUGGUACAGCACCUUCUUGAAGCACCAUGUUGCAAAACCUACUACUGUUCGUGCAAAGCUGCAAAAGUGCAGCAGCUGCAUUUUCCUUCCCUCUUGCAGAACCCAACUCAACAACCUCAACCAGAACAGGGAUCCCACCCUCUUGACCAAUUGCAGUCCUUCCCUCAGGAAUAGUUGCAAGGUUAGCCAAGACAGCAACUGCCUUGUCAACCAUCCCAGCUGCUGGGUCCAUCAACUCGACAAGGUGCUUAACAGCACCAGCUUGCACAAUCCGGGCUUUGUUUUCAUGAAAUAUUGACAAAUUAAACAAAGCUGUGGCUGCAUCCUUCUUUCCCCUGGGAGUUCCAUUCCCCAACAAAUCAACCAGAGGUCUAACAGCCCCAGACCGUCCUAUCCUGACCUUGUUAUCCUCAAUCACUGAUAGGCUAAAGAGAGUAGCAGCUGAAUUCUCCUUGGCCUCUGGACUUCCUGUGUCUAGUACAUGAAUCAGAGGUUCAAUAGCAUCUGCAUUAGCAAUUGCUGUUUUGUUGUUAUCAUUAAUUGACAAGUUAAGGAGCGCUGUGACAGCAUUUUCCUGAAUCAUUAUGUCAGUUGAUCGAAGAAAGUUAACUAACAAGUUAAUGGCCCCACAGCUUGCUAUAACAAUCCUAUUGUCCAUGUUGUGUUUGGCAAGUAGCCUGAGGUCAGCUGUUGCCUCUCUUUGAGUAUCAACUGAAUCACUUUUCAAGUCCUCAAUCAGCUUUCGAACUUUGGUUUCAACACCAGAAAGAUCAGCCCUCGUUUCCAUAGCAGGAGAAGAAACUAUCCUUGGAACAAGCCUAUCUGACGGCCGCCGCCAGAAAGUUUGACUUCGAGACCGUGUCUCAACCAAACGGGGUGGGAACUCAGGUUCUCUGUGAGGGGCGUUCAAAGUAGUAGAAGCCUGUGGCUCUGCUUUUACCUCCCCUGAAGUAUCACUGCUAUAGGAAGUAAGAUGGUUUGACAUCUCUGAACACUCAUUAGCAUCUGCAUGAACUCCUUGAGAAAAAUUUGCAUUAGCAACACUGGAGGCUGAGGCAUUUCUACUGUGGCUCUGAGUCAUAUGUUCAUCAGCUCUAACACCAUUCGGAACUUCCUUUCUAGGAGGUGAUACAGGGUGGUUGACAACUGAAUCCAUGCUCCUUUCAUCCAAGUUAGCAGACCUUUCCUCAGAACUCAUUCGUGAUAUUCUCAUCAUGUCCAUACCCAGUUCAUUUCCUACUAUACCUGAUAAGGAACCCUCGGAUGUAGAACAAGGAUGAAGUGGAGAAGAUCCCUCUUGAUGAAUUCUACUAGAAGAGAUCCAAUUCCUUCCAGGAGAACCGGUAGACCGAGUUGACUCAGGUGACAUGGGUUGGUUGCCCCUGGAUUGAGGAAAAACAUGUGAAUCCCUGGGCAUGCCACCAGACUCUGCAUGUACAAGAAGUGGUGAGGGCUGAUUGAAGCCCACAGACUUCACAGGAUCAGGCAGCUUCACAUUGUUGGACUCACACCAAUUUGCAAUGAGAGCCUUUACAGUGUAAUUAGGUAUCAGAUUGGUGUGAGCAAGAGUCUGUCGUGUCUUGGGACACACAGUGAGCCCAUGUUCAAUCCAGUUUUUAAUGAACGCUCGCUCAUAGGUUUGCCCAGAUGCCACAAUCACUGGAUCAGUCAUCAACUCAAGAGAGAGAGGGCAGCAAAAAUCAGCUGGUAUUGGGACUGGGCUGCUGGUCUGAGACUGUUUUAUCAGAACAAGACGUUCAUGCAUGCGAGUCACAAGAGAAAUCAUUUGAUCGAAUAACUCAGCUUCCCUAGUGUUUUCAGCUUGCUCAGCAUUCUCCUUCAACUUCUCGAGGGCCACUGCUUCAAUCAGAACAUCCUGAUUGGACCUCAAGCUUAAGCACUCUACAAUUUUCACCAGAAUCUCUGAGCUAGGUUCACCACUCUCCACUUGGUCCCUUAUGGCUUCUCUAACAACAGAUGAUGUUUGUUCAUAUCCCAUUUGCUUAAUUUUUUGUGAGCAGUACUCAAGAGAUGAUGAACUUAAUUCAUCAGGGAAAUGUUCAUGGGAAGACUUCAACAGCUGAAACAUAUCCAGACCCAAAGUCCUGAUCUUUGAUAUUAAUGAUUCAGUUUGCAGAACAAAAUAAACUUUACUCGACAAUGGUUGCCAGUUUUCAAAGAGUUCCCUCAGUUCAUCAACAGACUGGCCCAAUUCAUGAAAUGCCUUAUUAAGCACUUCAUCAGAAGCUAUUUCAGAAUCAACAACAGCAUCAAGUAUUGGCUUCAACAGCUUCAAUAUCUCUUCUGCCUUCUGGCAAUACUUCUGAACCAGGUCCGAGCUUAAGUUCUCAAUGGUUGAUAAACAUAAAAAAGAGGAGAUGUUAUUGAGAAGUGCUUUCAAAACUGAUAUUUCCAUCACACCUGCAUCACCCAAAAAAAAAAGAGAAUCACAAAUUGCACCAACAAAGGAAGAAAAAAAAAGCAUCAAACUAGCAAAUAUCCAUAGGGAGCUUCUUCAGACCAAAAAUCUGAACAAAUGUAAGGCACAGAUUAAUGAUUAAUGCUUAUUUAUUAAAUGUAUGGAAACAGGCAUCAAUAGAAUUACUUUAUAGGCAUUAUCCCAAGUUAUCUAAUCCACUCACUCUCUUGACAAGAAACACUGAAAAUUUGGUAUCUUAAUACUGGAAUGUUAAAAGGGAAAGUAAAAAGAUAGCUCAGUGAAUCCAUAAUAUUAAGCAACCACCGAUGGAAACAACCCAAACAUAACUAAUCUAUUACAAAAAGUUUCCUUCAAUUGUUUAAUGCAUUACAGAUUCUUUACAAUUCAUUUCGGAGCAACAAUAGCAUGCAAUGUAGAAAUUAAACAUCAAAAUGACAUAAACAAAGCAAUGCUUGAACGUUAUACUAUCUGCUACAGAGCAAAAACCCAAGCAAUAUAUCCAAAGCAAAAUUAGUAGGCUUAUUUAAGUGCAAAUAAAUAACUGUGGAACUAAAAAAAAACUAACAUCAAAAUAAUAAUAGCAUUUGAUGAUCAUCAUGCAUGCCUAUUUCACAGUGAUACAGAAGAUGGAUACAACAGACAAAUAACUGAAUAAAAAUUCCAAUAACUAUCUCAGAAGCACUUCUUUCCAAACCCUUAAUCAGGCAUUCUAUUAGACACCCGAUGUAAAUCCUAGAGAUUUUAGGACUACUUAUUUUAGGAAAAACUGUAGAAAGUAGUUUAUUUUAUUAAAGUAGUUUUAUUUGAUUUGUAAUUCCUAAUUAGGGUUGAUUGAUUCCACGAAGCCACAAAAUUUUGCUUCACAUACACAUAUAGUUGUUCAUCACUAGGCCCUAUAAGCCAACCACAAUGAUACCUAUCCUUUAACAACUAGUGAUCCAGCUCAGUGGUAUCAGUUGUGAGUUGUUACAAAUCAAGGAUAGUAAGCUGUGAGCAAGAUUUUUAGGACACUUAUGGAGGGCCACCAUAGGUGAAAAGAAUUCUUUAAUAGAGAUUUGGCAUUUUUUUUCUGAUGAAGAUGUGAUUUUUCGAGCUGGGUUUUCAUAAACUAGGGAUCUGAAAUCAGGGUCUUGAAUGAUUUGGAAAUGCACCAGGUGAUCGAUUGAGGAAGGAUUUCAAUGAUGCCUUUGCCUUCUAGGGCUGGAAGUGAAGGAAAUUGAUCAGAUUGGGAUGAAUUCUUACUUUUACUCAACUUUUUUUUUGGGGGGGCACUAUUCUAGUCUACUUCUGUGAUAGAUUAUAGACCAUUACAAUUUUAGUUUUUUUUAUCAAAAUUAAAUGCAUAUCUAUCAAGAGAUAAAGAAUUUCU
rnacentral:misc_RNA from 1 species